AGAGUUUGAUCCUGGCUCAGAUUGAACGCUGGCGGCAUGCUUUACACAUGCAAGUCGGACGGCAGCACAGGGAAGCUUGCUUCUCGGGUGGCGAGUGGCGAACGGGUGAGUAACAUAUCGGAACGUACCGGGUAGCGGGGGAUAACUGAUCGAAAGAUCAGCUAAUACCGCAUACGUCUUGAGAGGGAAAGCAGGGGACCUUCGGGCCUUGCGCUAUCCGAGCGGCCGAUAUCUGAUUAGCUGGUUGGCGGGGUAAAGGCCCACCAAGGCGACGAUCAGUAGCGGGUCUGAGAGGAUGAUCCGCCACACUGGGACUGAGACACGGCCCAGACUCCUACGGGAGGCAGCAGUGGGGAAUUUUGGACAAUGGGCGCAAGCCUGAUCCAGCCAUGCCGCGUGUCUGAAGAAGGCCUUCGGGUUGUAAAGGACUUUUGUCAGGGAAGAAAAGGCCGUUGCCAAUAUCGGCGGCCGAUGACGGUACCUGAAGAAUAAGCACCGGCUAACUACGUGCCAGCAGCCGCGGUAAUACGUAGGGUGCGAGCGUUAAUCGGAAUUACUGGGCGUAAAGCGGGCGCAGACGGUUACUUAAGCAGGAUGUGAAAUCCCCGGGCUCAACCCGGGAACUGCGUUCUGAACUGGGUGACUCGAGUGUGUCAGAGGGAGGUGGAAUUCCACGUGUAGCAGUGAAAUGCGUAGAGAUGUGGAGGAAUACCGAUGGCGAAGGCAGCCUCCUGGGAUAACACUGACGUUCAUGUCCGAAAGCGUGGGUAGCAAACAGGAUUAGAUACCCUGGUAGUCCACGCCCUAAACGAUGUCAAUUAGCUGUUGGGCAACUUGAUUGCUUGGUAGCGUAGCUAACGCGUGAAAUUGACCGCCUGGGGAGUACGGUCGCAAGAUUAAAACUCAAAGGAAUUGACGGGGACCCGCACAAGCGGUGGAUGAUGUGGAUUAAUUCGAUGCAACGCGAAGAACCUUACCUGGUUUUGACAUGUGCGGAAUCCUCCGGAGACGGAGGAGUGCCUUCGGGAGCCGUAACACAGGUGCUGCAUGGCUGUCGUCAGCUCGUGUCGUGAGAUGUUGGGUUAAGUCCCGCAACGAGCGCAACCCUUGUCAUUAGUUGCCAUCAUUCGGUUGGGCACUCUAAUGAGACUGCCGGUGACAAGCCGGAGGAAGGUGGGGAUGAUGUCAAGUCCUCAUGGCCCUUAUGACCAGGGCUUCACACGUCAUACAAUGGUCGGUACAGAGGGUAGCCAAGCCGCGAGGCGGAGCCAAUCUCACAAAACCGAUCGUAGUCCGGAUUGCACUCUGCAACUCGAGUGCAUGAAGUCGGAAUCGCUAGUAAUCGCAGGUCAGCAUACUGCGGUGAAUACGUUCCCGGGUCUUGUACACACCGCCCGUCACACCAUGGGAGUGGGGGAUACCAGAAGUAGGUAGGGUAACCGCAAGGAGUCCGCUUACCACGGUAUGCUUCAUGACUGGGGUGAAGUCGUAACAAGGUAGCCGUAGGGGAACCUGCGGCUGGAUCACCU
rnacentral:rRNA from 1 species